rnacentral:rRNA from 1 species
UGGGGAAUUUUGGACAAUGGGCGCAAGCCUGAUCCAGCCAUGCCGCGUGAGUGAAGAAGGCCUUCGGGUUGUAAAGCUCUUUCGGCGGGGACGAAACGGUUCGUGACAACACCACGGACUAAUGACGGUACCCGCAUAAGAAGCACCGGCUAACUACGUGCCAGCAGCCGCGGUAAUACGUAGGGUGCAGGCGUUAAUCGGAAUUACUGGGCGUAAAGCGUGCGCAGGCGGUUUGUUAAGACAGGUGUGAAAUCCCCGGGCUUAACCUGGGAAUUGCGCUUGUAACUGGCAGGCUAGAGUGUGGCAGAGGGGGGUGGAAUUCCACGUGUAGCAGUGAAAUGCGUAGAUAUGUGGAGGAACACCGAUGGCGAAGGCAGCCCCCUGGGUUAACACUGACGCUCAUGCACGAAAGCGUGGGGAGCAAACAGGAUUAGAUACCCAAGUAGUCCCUGAGCGGGCUGGCAAGGCGCAU